rnacentral:rRNA from 1 species
GACAGAGGGGGCAAGCGUUGCUCGGAAUUACUGGGCGUAAAGGGCGCGUAGGCGGGAUGGCAAGUCGGUCGUGAAAUCCCUCGGCUCAACUGAGGAGCGUCGAUCGAAACUGCCGUUCUUGAGGGUUGCAGAGGAGACUGGAAUUCCCGGUGUAGCGGUGAAAUGCGCAGAUAUCGGGAGGAACACCUAUGGCGAAGGCAGCUCGCUGGGACGUUACUGACGCUGAGACGCGAAAACGUGGGGAGCAAACAGG